GGAGCAUGUGGUUUAAUUCGAUGCAACGCGAAGAACCUUACCAGGGUUUGACAUGAUACGAAUUUCUUUGAAAGAAGAAAGUGCCGUUUGGAACGUAUACACAGGUGGUGCAUGGCUGUCGUCAGCUCGUGUUGUGAAAUGUUGGGUUAAGUCCCGUAACGAGCGCAACCCCUAUCCUUAUUUGCCAGCACUUCGGGUGGGAACUCUAAGGAGACUGCCGGUGACAAACCGGAGGAAGGUGGGGAUGACGUCAAGUCAUCAUG
rnacentral:rRNA from 1 species